GACGAACGCUGGCGGCGUGCUUAACACAUGCAAGUCGAACGGUGAAGCAGAGCUUGCUCUGUGGAUCAGUGGCGAACGGGUGAGUAACACGUGAGUAACCUGCCCUUGACUCUGGGAUAAGCGUUGGAAACGACGUCUAAUACCGGAUACGAGCUGAGACCGCAUGGUCAUCAGUUGGAAAGAUUUUUUGGUCAAGGAUGGACUCGCGGCCUAUCAGCUUGUUGGUGAGGUAAUGGCUCACCAAGGCGACGACGGGUAGCCGGCCUGAGAGGGUGACCGGCCACACUGGGACUGAGACACGGCCCAGACUCCUACGGGAGGCAGCAGUGGGGAAUAUUGCACAAUGGGCGCAAGCCUGAUGCAGCAACGCCGCGUGAGGGAUGACGGCCUUCGGGUUGUAAACCUCUUUUAGUAGGGAAGAAGCGAAAGUGACGGUACCUGCAGAAAAAGCACCGGCUAACUACGCG
rnacentral:rRNA from 1 species